AUGGAUGAGGAGAAAUAAUAACCUCACUCAAUCAGUCUAAUUUCAGCUGAUUCACUUAUCACUAAAAUCUAUAUAAUGGAACAUCUUGUUGACCAUCGUCUAUCUAUUUUUAAUACAAUUUUAAAGUUUUUUCUACUCUCUGUGGACAGUAAAAUGCCCACAGAGAAUUUAAACAACAGAAUGUCACUGAAAUGCUAAAAUUGCUUCUAACCUACCUGUACAACUUGUUAUUUAAAUUCUCCUACAUGCUAUUGCUAUGCAAUGUUAACUAUUCCCUCAGUCCCAAAUGAAAUGCCACCGUUCAGGCCCCUCUAUUUCUUAAACUUAUUUAUAUUCAUGUAAUCAUGUUUCAAGAAUUCAUACACAUUAUACUAUAGUAAAAUAUUUUUUCUUGAAUAAUUUCGAAGUUUUAAUAGCACCUUAAAUUUCUCUUGUGCACAACUCAAAGGGCAAGUACUCCCAAAAAUUUUGGACAAUAAAUCUUAGUCCUAAAAACUAUAGCUACUACUUAUUUCACCAAAUUUAGCUGAAAACUGCAUGACCGAUUAAUUGAUGUGUUCAUGAUUUCUUGCAACAGUAAUAAUUUGUGCAUCCCCAUCUGAGAAGCAUAAAUAUAGGAAGAACUGAGUAAUUUUCCACCAAAAUAACAGGAGUUCUAAGGACUUAUGCCGAAAUAACGUUUUGAGAUACGUAGGCAAGAAAAUUGGAACAAGAAAAUAAGAAAUAAAGAAUUAAUUUGCUAUUUUCAAAAUAAAGAAUAUCUUUUUGAAAAGGUAAAGUUGCUGAUAAAAUAGAAUUUCACCAAAUUCCAUAUCUCCCUUAAUUGUCAAGCUAAAACUCCCUCUGACAUGACAGACAGCAGAGCACAACAGAGGGAUCGGCAAAUAAUAAUAAUUUCUGUUGUUACAGACAUUUCAAAUCUUUCAGAUUCAGUGUAGUAGCCAAAUAUUCCUAGGACCUCCUAAGAUAUGUAAUUAGCUACCUGUGUGGUCUCUGUCAGAUCUGUGUUUCGGUUCUUUGGUUAAAAUAAAUACAAAACUUCUCAUACAUUUUCUACACAUUUUCAGAAGAAGCUUCAGUUUUCCAGUUUAUUCAGUAUAAUGCCAAAAAGUCUAAACAAUAUUUAGAGAGAUGAGUUAUUGGGACUGAUCCAGCUUAACACUGAAACACUAAAAGUCAUGGAACAGCAGGGUAAGAAUCACAGAAUAACAGAAUGGUUUGGGUUGGAAAGGAUCUUAAAGAUCAUCUAGUUCCAAUCCCCUCCUGCCAGGAACACUUUUGACUAGACUAAGUUCCUCAAAGUCCUAUCCAGCCUGACCUUGAACACUUCCUGGAUGGGGCAUCCACAACCACUCUGGGCAACCUGUUCCAGUGUCAUACCACCUCAUAGUGAAGAAUUUCUUUCAAUACCUAAUCUAAACCUACCCUCUUCCAGUUUAAAAGAAAAAAAGAAAUCUGAAGAAAUCACUCCUGGUGGUAACAUCUGACCUCUUCAUCCAAAAAGCAGCCUCCAUCUACUUCAAGAAGGUGCGAUGUGUCCAGGCUCAGAGGGCCCCCUCAAGUGCACUGUUCCUGCAGCCAGAAGUCUCAAUGCUGCACAGUCUGCAAUGCCAGAGAGACUCAGCUUUGGUCCCACCUCUGAAAUACUUCAUGCUGGACAGGCCCUCCCAAAGCAGUGGCCACACGAGAGAGGGAGAGAGAGAGAGAGCUACAAGUCCCAAGAGACCAGAGACUGAAGAAUCUGAAUUGUCAAAUACAGUGUUUGAUCCCAACAUUUAUUUAUCUGGUUAGUUUCACUAGGAGGCCUAUGGAGGCUUCUACACUUCUAUUUUGGGGGCGAGGGAAUGAAAUGGAGAUCGAAAAGUAGAAAGGGUUUGGUAGAAACAAGGAGACUGCCAUCUAAAUUCACGUCCUUCUUCUUUAUGUAAGAAGAAAUGAAAUGAGGAAGAAAUGCCCCAGAUGCUGCCUAUUUUCAGCGAGUCAACUCUGCUUCAUCUUCCUCUCCCAGAGCAAAAGAGAAGCAGAUUUUGUAACAAUUCCAACUUUGACAUUUUGGUCUUAAGUCAACGAGACAUUUAAAUACCUGCUUUGUGAACAGAACUAUAUUGCUGGUUCCUCAGAACUCUGACUUGAAUUUUAGAACCUCUUUUCUAACAACAAAAUAAAUAAGAAAGAUACAUAAUAUUCAGGAAGGUGGCAGGAUCCAAGAACAAAAUCUAAGUUCCCUUCUGCUGCAGUAAAUAUCUGAUAGGUUCAGAGUGUGCAGUUGGUGUAUGCAACAUCAGUGAUUUAACACUGCUGCAAGGAAAGAGUCAUCCUUGGUGCUGUGCUCAUGGCAGUAAGUAUAAAACCAUCCCCUUCCUACCUGGUCAAGGAAUUCAGAUGUGUAAAUGCCAGAUGGAGUCUUCUGUAGAGAACAAGUUCCUUCCUAGCUCAAAUUUAACUUUAUUCCUUGUCUUUAUUUUGAUGCAAACACAUUGUAUUCUCCCUUCAUUUUCCUAUGAUGAUUUAAAGUGAAGGCAUCAAUCUGAUUGAAAACGCAACUUGCAGUAUUUCCUAUUCCACACUGGGAAAGAUGAAAGCUCUUAACUUCUUGAAGGCAUCUCUCAAAUAUAAUUAAUAAACCUAUUCUGGCCAGGACAGCAAGAUUUAAUCUCCAAGUACCAAAGGUCAGUUUACAGCAGGUGAAGAAUGGAGAUAAGGAGACAGGACUGUCGACUGCAAAGGCAGUUUGUGAGAAAAAAUAGCUGGAUAAAAUAUAAAGGAGUGCAAAUAUAUGAAUGGAAAAACACUUUUUAUGCCAAAUAUCCAUCAUUUUGAAUGGCUACAAGAAUCUGCAAUUUUGUGUGGGGAAAAAAAACCCCAUGUAUAACCUUGACCCUAAUGUUGAGCUCAAGUUAUUGCACCUGCAUGAUUUUCCCCAAACAAAUCCAUCAUCUGCCCUGCUGGAGCACAUUGCUGCACAAUGCCCAGAAGCACAGUGGAUUGCCAAGAAGAGUUAUUAAAACAAAGGUUCCCAGGUUUUGUUUUUGUUUUUUACUAUUAUUGGUGGUUUUUUACAUUAUAGAAGAUUUAGGAUCUCCCUUCACUCUUGAGCUAUAAGAGAAGGAGGCCACUGUAAGCCUCUCUGUGGAGAGAGAGAAGGGAUAACUGCAUGACACUUCCCUUGAGAACCAAAACCAUCAGUUGCAAUAACUGAAAGCCCUGGGAGCAUCUACAACUAACA